UGCCAUGAUGUUCUGUCUUUCCAGCAGAUGAUAUGAGGCUUGAUCUGGUGCAGGUGGUCUGAAGAUCAACCUCUCCAAUGGCCCAUGAAGCUGCCUGCCCAGCAUCAACUCUGCUGGAGUUUUGCCAGUGGUUUCCUGGUUUGUUUGAGGGUGAUAACUGGUCGUGAGUUUUUGGGAAAUGCCCCAGGUCUUGCAGAGCUCGGCCAGAACAUUGGAGAGGGAACAUUUCCACCCAUUUUGUGUAGUAGUCAACUACCAUAAGG